rnacentral:piRNA from 1 species
UGUUCAAUCAUACUCUUCUUGUGUCC